rnacentral:misc_RNA from 1 species
CCAUAAUUCUAAUAAUAGCCUCAAAAUGACAAAUCCACGUAUGUAAGAGUUUAAGGAAUUUAUUUUUAAAAGUAUAAAGAAAAUUUUGAAUCCUUAACUUCAGUGACUCUUUCUUUCAUGAAUUUUGGUUAUAAUGGAUAAAGAGGAGAUGCUAACGGCAAUUAUAUACACGGCCAGUGGAAAGUGGUUUUGUGGGGCGAGGAGUUUAUAAUGGCGAUGUAGGUAUUAAACAACAUUAUUUGGGGAUUUAUAUGAAAAUGGCAAAUGCAUAAUUUAAUUCUAUGCUUUCUACUUUCACUCUAUGCCCAAGAUGAAUCUGGGACAAAUUCAGGUCCCGUACUGGUUCAUGUUAUUUCUGCCCUAUUUAGGCAUGAGACAAGGCAGACGUCAAAUUCCAGGGUCUUGGCAUCCCUUCCUGCAAAGUCUUUGCGAUUGAAUUGUGAAUUAAAAUCAUUUAUCAUUUUGGUGUAUCAUUCUAUAACUUGGUUUUAACUCGAGUAUUUUUUUUAAUGCCUGGUCUCUAAAUGGUGGAUCUUGACAUCCACCGAAUAUUGGUAGAAUUGUUAAGAGUGGUGAUUGGAAUUGUACAAUAUGCAAUUUGAUUUUGAGAGAUCAAAUAUUGGAUUUAUUGGCAUCUGUGCUUGCCUGCUAAUGUUGUGCUUGCAUUAUUUUGGAUCAUUCUUAACCUGGUACGUUUUAUUUGUUGCUUUCUUCCUCUCUUUUUUCUUCUUCUUCUUUUUUUCUUUUCCUUUUCUCAUCUCAAACUCAUGGAGGAUCCCAGAAAGAGAGAAGGGUUUGAUGAUGGGGGCGACUUGGCCUUCAAAAAGUCUCCGACUCGGACGCUUCCUGACACUUCCGGCGAUCUGGGUGAGGAUAUUUUAGCUUGGCUUUCAAUGGAUGAUGAAACCAUAGAUGAACUCAUGAAGUUUCUUGACACGCACCCUGAAGGAGCUUCUGCAACUUGUACUAGUACUACAAGGGUCAAGUUCAUUGAAAAUCCCUACUCUUCACCUUUGAUUUUUCAGUCUUCUUCUUCUUACAUCACCAUCAACGGCAACGAGGAGAGCUGUGGCUCUUCUUUCUCUGACUGGGAGUCGUCGGUCAUGGCCAGCGUAGACAUGGGUGGGAUUCUAAAUGUUGGAAAGUCCUGUGGCAUUGAUGGGUUUUGUGAGUUUUUUCAAGCGGGAAAGGGAGGCGCGUGGGGUUCAAAUGAGGACGGGCGUGGGUUGAUGGUGGCAGAGGAGGGCGGCGUUGUUGACGGAUCGAUUGAAGGGUAUGAAUAUGAUGGGGUGGACGGUGAGAGUCUGGCGAGGUUUCUAGGAGAAGGAUUUAUUGACUGACCAUUGAGUAAACGUGAAUACUCAAUUAUUUAUUUUUAUUAGGGUUUUUGGUUGGUGGUGGCGGUGGUGGUUAAGGUCAAAUGUGAAGUUGUUAGUAACACAAAAGAAUACAGUAAUAUACACAAAAACGAUGUAAUAGAGCAAAGCAGAAGCAAGCAGCUGCCCUUUUUGUGGAAUGCUAAACCCAAAUGGUUUCCUCUCUCUCUCUUGCAUCUUGCAGCUAGCUUUUGUAAUCACUAAUUAGUAAUUAGUGCUUUGAAUCCUUGCAUAAUUUAACACUUCAAUUAUGGAUAUGAAUUUGCUCUUUUUUUAUUCCCAAAUUUACGAUCAAGUAUUUUUGAAUUAAUUUUAAA